GUAGGUGAACCUGCGGAAGGAUCAUUAUCACGUAAUAAUCCACGUUAUAAACCCUUCUUUGAAUUGUUUUUAAACUAAAUUUCUGGAACAGCCUUUGUGGUUGGAAUGCUUUUGGAUUGGGAUAUGGAAAUUUUAAUAGAACACUGUCUUAAUUUAUUUUAAGAUUGAAAUGGGAAAAUUAUUGUAAUUUGAGAUCCCAGAGUUCUGUUACUAGUUCAUAACCAGCAAUUCGUUAGCGUCUAAGAAAUUG
rnacentral:misc_RNA from 1 species